rnacentral:lncRNA from 1 species
UUCCAUCUUCCUUAUCACCUCAAGAUAGUGAGCAUUGGAUUGCUUGGCAUUCUUUAAGUCCUCAUAAAGGGCUGCCUUUUGUGGUGAGCAUGGUUUGGAGGACUCUCCACUAGAGAAAUGAGCCAUGAGCAGAAAAUACACACAAACAGAAAACAAAACAGUGAAAGAAACUUGUUAGACAAUUAAAAAACAGUGAGAUAUAGGUUGCUGGAAAAUGCCCAAGAAAGCACUCAAACCACUCCAAGAAAAUAUUCUGUCCUCAACCAAGCCUUUCUUGUGGAAUGGAGUAGCUUCAAGUGAAAUAUGUCACAGCAAACCAACUUACUUAAGAACAAGUCUCCA